rnacentral:rRNA from 1 species
AACGAACGCUGGCGGCGCGUCUUAAGCAUGCAAGUCGAGCGGCAAGUCGUAGCAAUACGGCCUAGAGCGGCGGACUGGUGAGUAACGCGUGGGUGACCUACCCUAAGGUUGGGGAUAGCCAUUAGAAAUAGUGGGUAAUACCGAAUAUUGUCGGAGUGCUCUGGCACUCCGAAGAAAGGGGCUUCGGCCCCGCCUUGGGAUGGGCCCGCGUCCCAUUAGCUUGUUGGUGAGGUAAGAGCCCACCAAGGCGAUGAUGGGUAGCCGGCCUGAGAGGGUGAACGGCCACACUGGGACUGAGAUACGGCCCAGACUCCUACGGGAGGCAGCAGCUAAGAAUAUUCCGCAAUGGACGAAAGUCUGACGGAGCGACGCCGCGUGGAUGACGAAGGCCGAAAGGUUGUAAAAUCCUUUUGUUACUGAAGAAUAAGCGGGGGAGGGAAUGCCCUCGUGAUGACGUUAGGUAACGAAUAAGCCCCG